rnacentral:lncRNA from 1 species
CUGCACAAGUUAGUGGUUACUUGGGCAUGGUUGCUCUCUCAUUUCAGAGUCUCCUUUUGAAGUGGUUCAAAGGUAGAGAGCACUUUAGGAGAAUGGUGUGUUUUAAAACCUGGCUGGCAUUUACAAUGUUCUGCUCUGUUCUUCUCUGCAUUAGCUAUAAGAUAGUGGGCUUUAGUUUGCAGUAGAGAUCUUGUGGCUCAGGAGCCUGAAGAGUUUACUACUCAGCUCUGUGAAUCUUCUUUAAGAUGAUCUUUGAGAAUACCUUUCCAUGUCGUCCUUAAAGCAAGCUAUUGUCAUCCAUUGCUAGCAUUCAGAUUCUCAAGACAAGUAUGUCAUGAGAAAUGAACCUGCAAAGACUACCUGCUUUCUUACCACACUCAUUUCUCCUCACCACUUGUGCCUGCUGAAGGUGAGGCACAAGAAGUUAAGGACAGUUUCUGACCUCAAAUCAGAUUUUACCAUUUUAGGGAUGUAACCUUGAAUGGAUGGUGGUGUUUUAAUUUCUUCCGCUGUAAGUUACCUAUUUUGUUGGCUUUUUGAACAUCAAUGGGUAUAUGUGUCUGAUACUCGUAAUGCUUAGUAGUAUCAGGUAUGAGAAGGACAACAGUUACAGAAGACGCUACUAUAAUCCAUUCAUAGGAAAUACAGAGGGCUGCCAAAUGCAAAGUGAGAGUAUCAACUUUGUUCUAGCCUGUCUGUAGCCUAGAAGGCCUUAAUAUAAAUGUCGGAGGGAAGUUCUCUCAAUAAUUCAGGAUGGUGCUCCAACAGGCCACAAGGGGAGAAAUGGCAGGAGUUAAAGCUGAAAGCAUGCUGAGGGCCAGGUGUGAAUGACAUCAAGACAUUUAAGGACUUUGCUUUAAGAACAAUGGUAACUCACUAAUACAGCAAACCACAUAUGUUGCAUUUUUGAAAUUUCAGUUUGGCUGUCAGGUAGAAAACAUGAAAUUUAAGUAGAUAAAAAGCAUGUGGACCAUUAGAAGGUUUUGAUGUUUAAAACGUCAUCAAUUAGGUAAGUGCUUGUGAGGAUGAAAGUGAGGAGUGACACAUGGACGGGUCUUCUGAGGAGGACGGUGAUAUUUAAAUGUUUUCCAAAGCUGAAGAGGAGGAAUUCAUGACGCCUCUCUUGGUUUCUAUUUUCCAGUUGGUGUUCUUUAUAUAAAGUGGGGACAUUUGCUGUUUAAUGAGGCAAGGAUUCUCACGGGGCCACAAUUUCAUCUGGAAGAGAUAGAGUGCCAGCCUAUCAUGGUUUGAGAAGCUUGGGAGAUGCACAUAGACACACAGGCACCUGGUAGUAAGGCGCCAGGGUGGAGCUUCAGAGUUUAAUCUUCCGUGAAAUUGUCUGUGCUGCCUCACAGGGAAGCCACGUCUAAACACUGGAAGAUGUUCCAUAGCCAGCACUUUGAGAACUUAUUUCACAUAGUCUUGAUUUAUACCUUACAUUUGAUUUACUUACAUGGCACAGCAUGAUUCCUAAAGGUUAAAAGCAAUGGCUAUUAUUUAUUUAUUUAUUUUUAUUUAUUUAUUUAUUUAUUUAUUUAUUUAGGAGACAUGGUUGUUAAUUUCACUUCAGUCAUAUAGUGUGUCCAUUCACUUAGACUCAGCACUUUUCUGGUGUUAUAAAAGAAGACUUUGUUUUUACUAAACAACAUGUAUCUGUCGAAAUGACUUCUUGGAUGUUAUUUCAGAAGUUCAAGUGAGUUUUCAGGAUUCAGCUCACAGUAUUCAGAUACGAAUCUAUAAUCUGUUCUGUAUCCAUUCUGUAGGCAGGAAGAGGUACACGGUUGGCCACAAACCUCAGGUCAAAACUUGUUUCCUCAUAGGCAGUGGUCAAUGAAAAAGACAGACAACAAAGGAAAUGUUUGUAAAGCGUAGAGCGUAUGAGAUAGCAAAAGUGAUUUGGAGAAAAUUCACACUAAGAAGUUGGAAGGGGUAUUUUUGGUUUUCAGUGGGGUUGUCCAAGAAGACUGUGCUGUGACAUUUGAAAAUUGAUAUAAUAGGGAUGGAGAUGGAAGUCAAGCAAAUAUCUGGGAUCCGAGUCUGGCAGACAGACAGUCAUGGCUUUCAGUAACCCAACAACAGUGAAAUAAGAGACAAAGUUAUAGUAGAUGAAAUUUGCUAAAGGAGAAGGCAUGACUGCAGGUUUUGGGGCCUUUUAGACAACGAUAGAAAGGAAGCCAGAGUUUCCAGUAGUGGCAUGUUGUGUUUCAGCUUCCUUUCUGAAGGAUCACUAUAGUUGUUACAGAAAAAGAAAGAACAACUUUGGGAGUCAGAAUGGCAGCAGAGAGGACUGCAGUAAUUCAGGCAAAUAAGAACUUAUGGACAUACUCCAUUCCAAUAGGUCUGGAGUCUGCCUGCACUGCUCUGUCCCAACAGCUCAUUCAUGACAGGCACUGAUCUCAAGAGUAGGCUUGAACUAUCCUGGGUACCAUAGAUAACCAUGUGUCCACAGAACCACCAACCCAGGGCAAAUUUCAUGUUGUUGUUUUCCAUUUUGUCAGUUAUCAUCUUAUUUACUUAUAAUAGUGAACUUGCUGAUUCCUUCUUGUCCCCAUAGGAGCUUUUCAGGGCUCUGACAUUCUUAGUAUAAAGAAUGUCUGUGUGGCAAGUAAAAUAAAAUGCCCUGCAAAGGUCCAUUCUGGACAACCUUGUUCUAGGAUGAAGUUAGGACAGACAGGGAUGUCUCUCAACUUCUGCACCUCGAGGAAUUGAUAGGUUAGAGUUAGGAAAAUGGUUUAACUUUAGUCUAUAUCACACCCAUUUACUCUACACACAGUAAAAAAAAUGAAUACAGAUAAGACUUAUUGUGAGAGCAGAUAAAAGCAGAAAGAUAGAAAUGAAGUUUUGAACAGGGGAAGUCAUGAACAGAGAAUCUUCCCAUAACACAUGGUGUCAGCGGAAACGGGAAAUUCUUUUACUUGAAAACUUCUUUGGAGAAAUGAUGUUCUUUUGCUCAUAAUAACCAUUGAAUUGUUGCUCACACAACAGAAAGCUCAAAGUCCACAUCCCCAUAGGACUUACUGCUGUUAUGGGUUGUCUCUACCAACUCUCCCACUUUUAACUCUAAGUUACUUUCUCUCCAAAGUGGUAAUUCCAUUCAAUGGCAAAGUAACAGGUAACCCUCUAAUCUACAAGACAAUGAGAUCAGAAGCUAAAGUCAAUGGGAGUGUGAAGAUUGGCCUAGCAUGUGUUUGCAAUAUCUUCUUUGAGCAAAGUAUGGUUUCCCACUGUACUAGAUCCAAUAUUAACCCUGGAAUUAUGUGAGUAUUUACAUGAGCCCUGGGAAAGACUAUCUCAUUGAAGCAAAUGAAACCUAUAAUUAAUGUCUCCAUGGCCUUGAGUAUUUGUGCAGUUUAGUGUUUAUAUUUUAUCUGCAAGCCCUCUGCAGAAAACAUAAGGUGGCUUUUACUUGCUUGAAAAUCAAGAGACUUUAGAAACUAUUAUUUCCGCAUAGUAGGUUUUAAACAAAUUUUGCUAAAUGGAUGAAUACAUACACAUGUAAACAAACAAGGAGGUGAGAGCCUUAUAAAUGGCUUUGGAAUCCACACACAAAUUCAUCUUAGCAUAUAAAAUACAUCAACAUUUAACGAUGAGAGAAACAAGGGAAAGGGAGGGAGGGAGAGAGAGAAUGAAUGCCCAUUAUUAACUCGUUAUGGUUCCCUUUAUUUAUUAAUAGGAACAACUUCAGAAGAUGCAGAGUGAGUUUUGAUGGGAAAGAGACUCUU